AGAGUUUGAUCCUGGCUCAGGAUGAACGCUGGCGGCGUGCUUAAUACAUGCAAGUCGAACGAGGGGUUAGCAAUAACUCCUAGUGGCGAACGGGUGAGUAACGCGUUGGUGACCUGCCCCGAAGCGAGGGAUAACAGUUCGAAAGGACUGCUAAUACCCCAUGAGGUCUUAGAGGUUAGAGGCUUUAAGACGAAAGGAGCAAUCCACUUUGGGAGGGGCCUGCGUCCCAUCAGCUAGUUGGUAGGGUAAUGGCCUACCAAGGCAACGACGGGUAGGGGACCUGAGAGGGUGGCCCCCCACACUGGCACUGAAACACGGGCCAGACACCUACGGGUGGCAGCAGUAGGGAAUAUUGCACAAUGGGCGAAAGCCUGAUGCAGCAACGCCGCGUGCGCGAAGAAGGCCUUCGGGUUGUAAAGCGCUUUUCGGGGAGAUGAGCAAGGACAGUAUCCCCGGAAUAAGGCUCGGCUAACUACGUGCCAGCAGCCGCGGUAAAACGUAGGAGCCUAGCGUUAUCCGAAUUCACUGGGCGUAAAGCGCGUGCAGGCGGCUUGGUAAGUUGGAUGUGAAAUCUCUCGGCUCAACUGGGAGAGGACGUUCAAUACUGCCAGGCUAGAGGGCGGAAGAGGGAGGUGGAAUUCCCGGUGUAGUGGUGAAAUGCGUAGAUAUCGGGAGGAACACCAGUGGCGAAGGCGGCCUCCUAGGCCGCUCCUGACGCUCAGACGCGAAAGCUAGGGGAGCGAACGGGAUUAGAAACCCCGGUAGUCCUAGCUGUAAACGAUGUCGACUUGGCGUCGGUGGUGUAAAAACCAUCGGUGCCGUAGCCAACGCGAUAAGUCGACCGCCUGGGGACUACGGCCGCAAGGUUAAAACUCAAAUGAAUUGACGG
rnacentral:rRNA from 1 species